CAGUAGCCGCGGUAACACGGAGGGGGCUAGCGUUGUUCGGAAUUACUGGGCGUAAAGCGCACGUAGGCGGCUUUGUAAGUUAGAGGUGAAAGCCUGGGGCUCAACUCCAGAAUUGCCUUUAAGACUGCAUCGCUUGAACGUCGGAGAGGUGAGUGGAAUUCCGAGUGUAGAGGUGAAAUUCGUAGAUAUUCGGAAGAACACCAGUGGCGAAGGCGGCUCACUGGCUCAUUCUAGACGCUGAGGUGCGAAAGCGUGGGGAGCAAACAGGAUUAGAUACCCCCGUAGUCCCUGUCUCUUAUAC
rnacentral:rRNA from 1 species